GGCCCAAUGGUCUAGAGGUAAGAUACUUGCUUUGGGAACCUCUCACUUGCAAGGGAUCCCGGGUUCGAAUCCCGGUUGGGCCC